GAACUGCGAUAAGUAAUGUGAAUUGCAGAAUUCAGUGAAUCAUCGAGUCUUUGAACGCACAUUGCGCCCCCUGGCAUUCCGGGGGGCAUGCCUGUCCGAGCGUCAUUGCUGCCCUUCAAGCCCGGCUUGUGUGUUGGGUCGUCGUCCCCUCCGGGGGACGGGCCCGAAAGGCAGCGGCGGCACCGCGUCCAGUCCUCGAGCGUAUGGGGCUUUGUCACCCGCUCGAUAAGGACCGGCCGGGCGCCAGCCGGCGUCUCCAACCUUUUUUUCUCAGGUUGACCUCGGAUCAGGUAGGGAUACCCGCUGAACUUAAGC
rnacentral:misc_RNA from 1 species